rnacentral:rRNA from 1 species
UACAUGCAAGUCGAACGAUCCCUUCGGGGAUAGUGGCGCACGGGUGCGUAACGCGUGGGAAUCUGCCCUUGGGUUCGGAAUAACUUCUGGAAACGGAAGCUAAUACCGGAUGAUGACGUAAGUCCAAAGAUUUAUCGCCCAAGGAUGAGCCCGCGUAGGAUUAGCUAGUUGGUGAGGUAAAGGCUCACCAAGGCGACGAUCCUUAGCUGGUCUGAGAGGAUGAUCAGCCACACUGGGACUGAGACACGGCCCAGACUCCUACGGGAGGCAGCAGUAGGGAAUAUUGGACAAUGGGGGAAACCCUGAUCCAGCAAUGCCGCGCGAGUGAUGAAGGCCUUAGGGUUGUAAAGCUCUUUUACCCGGGAUGAUAAUGACAGUACCGGGAGAAUAAGCUCCGGCUAACUCCGUGCCAGCAGCCGCGGUAAUACGGAGGGAGCUAGCGUUGUUCGGAAUUACUGGGCGUAAAGCGCACGUAGGCGGCUAUUCAAGUCAGAGGUGAAAGCCCGGGGCUCAACCCCGGAACUGCCUUUGAAACUAGAUAGCUUGAAUCCAGGAGAGGUGAGUGGAAUUCCGAGUGUAGAGGUGAAAUUCGUAGAUAUUCGGAAGAACACCAGUGGCGAAGGCGGCUCACUGGACUGGUAUUGACGCUGA